rnacentral:rRNA from 1 species
GUUGGGUAGGGGAGCGUUCUGUAAGCCUGUGAAGGUGGCCUGUGAGGGUUGCUGGAGGUAUCAGAAGUGCGAAUGCUGACAUAAGUAACGAUAAAGCGGGUGAAAAGCCCGCUCGCCGGAAGACCAAGGGUUCCUGUCCAACGUUAAUCGGGGCAGGGUGAGUCGACCCCUAAGGCGAGGCCGAAAGGCGUAGUCGAUGGGAAACGGGUUAAUAUUCCCGUACUUGGUGUUACUGCGAAGGGGGGACGGAGAAGGCUAUGUUGGCCGGGCGACGGUUGUCCCGGUUUAAGCGUGUAGGUGUGUGUUCCAGGUAAAUCCGGUUCACUUUAACACUGAGGCGUGACGACGAGGCACUACGGUGCUGAAGCAACAAAUGCCCUGCUUCCAGGAAAAGCCUCUAAGCAUCAGGUAACAUCAAAUCGUACCCCAAACCGACACAGGUGGUCAGGUAGAGAAUACCAAGGCGCUUGAGAGAACUCGGGUGAAGGAACUAGGCAAAAUGGUGCCGUAACUUCGGGAGAAGGCACGCUGACACGUAGGUGAAGUGAUUUACUCAUGGAGCUGAAGUCAGUCGAAGAUACCAGCUGGCUGCAACUGUUUAUUAAAAACACAGCACUGUGCAAACACGAAAGUGGACGUAUACGGUGUGACGCCUGCCCGGUGCCGGAAGGUUAAUUGAUGGGGUCAGCGCAAGCGAAGCUCCUGAUCGAAGCCCCGGUAAACGGCGGCCGUAACUAUAACGGUCCUAAGGUAGCGAAAUUCCUUGUCGGGUAAGUUCCGACCUGCACGAAUGGCGUAAUGAUGGCCAGGCUGUCUCCACCCGAGACUCAGUGAAAUUGAACUCGCUGUGAAGAUGCAGUGUACCCGCGGCAAGACGGAAAGACCCCGUGAACCUUUACUAUAGCUUGACACUGAACAUUGAGCCUUGAUGUGUAGGAUAGGUGGGAGGCUUUGAAGUGUGGACGCCAGUCUGCAUGGAGCCGACCUUGAAAUACCACCCUUUAAUGUUUGAUGUUCUAACGUGGACCCGUUACCCGGGUUGCGGACAGUGUCUGGUGGGUAGUUUGACUGGGGCGGUCUCCUCCUAAAGAGUAACGGAGGAGCACGAAGGUUGGCUAAUCCUGGUCGGACAUCAGGAGGUUAGUGCAAUGGCAUAAGCCAGCUUGACUGCGAGCGUGACGGCGCGAGCAGGUGCGAAAGCAGGUCAUAGUGAUCCGGUGGUUCUGAAUGGAAGGGCCAUCGCUCAACGGAUAAAAGGUACUCCGGGGAUAACAGGCUGAUACCGCCCAAGAGUUCAUAUCGACGGCGGUGUUUGGCACCUCGAUGUCGGCUCAUCACAUCCUGGGGCUGAAGUAGGUCCCAAGGGUAUGGCUGUUCGCCAUUUAAAGUGGUACGCGAGCUGGGUUUAGAACGUCGUGAGACAGUUCGGUCCCUAUCUGCCGUGGGCGCUGGAGAACUGAGGGGGGCUGCUCCUAGUACGAGAGGACCGGAGUGGACGCAUCACUGGUGUUCGGGUUGUCAUGCCAAUGGCACUGCCCGGUAGCUAAAUGCGGAAGAGAUAAGUGCUGAAAGCAUCUAAGCACGAAACUUGCCCCGAGAUGAGUUCUCCCUGAGACUUAAAGUCUCCUGAAGGAACGUUGAAGACGACGACGUUGAUAGGCCGGGUGUGUAAGCGCAGCGAUGCGUUGAGCUAACCGGUACUAAUGAACCGUGAGGCUUAACCUUACAACGCCGAAG